rnacentral:lncRNA from 1 species
GAGCUCUACGAGUGGACUAAGGUUGACCUCUCCGACGAGGCCCAGAAGAAGCGUGUCGAGGCCAUGAUCGAGGACCUUGAGCCGUUUGAGGGGCAGGCCUUGCUGGACGCCAAGUGCUUCAAGUAAGCGAACAGUGCCUGGGAUCGUGAUGGCGGUGGCAAAGAAACUAUCUAGGACUUGAAAUUCAGUGUCGAAACAGUUGGUCUUUUUUUGGAAGAGUUUGCUUGUUACUUAAUGGCUAUUUGACCUGGUGAACUAGUUAAUUUUGUGCUAUGCUAAGAGUUUUUGGGUAUCUGGUCCUGCUGUCUCGUUAUUCUGUGAGGUUUUUACAUUUGUGUCCGCAGAUAGAGCCAUCUACUCCUACUUCCGUGAAUCGUUAUAUUGCUGCUAUUGCUAGCCGCUAACUGUUUCUGAGCAAAGCAUGUAUGGCCUUCAUAGCGUGAUACACGAUUUAUCAGUGUAUCAUGAGUCAGCGGUCAUGGUCGCCAUCGUGGUCUGGCUAACAGCUGUAUAUCA